GUAGAUCGUAUGGAAAGGUGUGUAACAGUAAAACUGUAGCGUAAGCACCUGUGUAAGCUGAGGGACCUGAACGUUGGUCCAAAUUUUUGAGACAAGCCCCUGGGAUCCCAUAAAUGUGUCUCCAUUUGUGAACGAUAUGAAGGCAAAGUGAGGCUUUAGAAGGAGCGUAAUCGUAGUGAGUAAGAUUACUGAUACCUGAUACUGAAACGUCAGGGACCAGGCAGCCUGUUGGUCGUUGAAGGCAUGGUGAAUCUACUAAUUGGUGCAGGUCUAAGUAAUGAUAUGAAUAUAUUGGGUAGAAUUAUCUAACCCUUGAGAGUGGAGACAGUGGAAAGAAACAGGGAUAGGAAUAAGAGUCUCUACUGGUAAAGAAAAGCC